UACGAAGGGUGCAAGCGUUACUCGGAAUUACUGGGCGUAAAGCGUGCGUAGGUGGUUGUUUAAGUCUGUCGUGAAAGCCCUGGGCUCAACCUGGGAAUGGCGAUGGAAACUGGGCGACUAGAGUGUGGCAGAGGGUAGUGGAAUUCCUGGUGUAGCAGUGAAAUGCGUAGAGAUCAGGAGGAACAUCCGUGGCGAAGGCGCCUGCCUGGGCCAACACUGACACUGAGGCACGAAAGCGUGGGGAGCAAACAGGAUUAGAUACCCCCCGUAGU
rnacentral:rRNA from 1 species